CCAUGGUGGACUUUUGGGAACAGGUAUCUGGGUCACGUGUUUCUGAGUCGGUGGCGUGGUUCGUGACUCAACACCCUGCCCCUAGGCA
rnacentral:sRNA from 8 species